ensembl:rRNA 5S_rRNA 5S ribosomal RNA
GGCCACAGCCAUAUCACCCUGCAGCCCAAGACUGGUCACCCACUUAAGCUAAGCAUGGUUGAGCCUGGUCAGUACCUGGAUGGGAGACCUCCUGGGAAAACUAGGUUGCUGUUGGAA